GUGCUUACUUUAGCAGCACAUAUACUAAAGUUGGAAUGAUACAGAGAAGACUAACAUGCACAAGGAUGUCACACAAAUUCGUGAAGCAUCCCAUACUAAA
ensembl:snRNA U6 U6 spliceosomal RNA